rnacentral:rRNA from 16 species
AAUCGCCAGUGAGACAGUAGGUGAUAGGCUUCAUCGUCGCGAGGGAAACAAAACAGAAAUGCUAGCUAAACAGCCAAAAUAAUCGCUAAGUGGUACAGGAAGUGGGGGUGCAA